AUGUCUACUGUGGCUUCAGUACGGCUCCCGGCCAUUCAACACCCUUCAUCAAGACUUGGAGAUCCGGAACUCAUCUCUCUCCGGGGUUAUUCCACAGACGGCGGCAGAGAUCAGAGAUGCUGGGUUCCUCCGAGAGGAACCAGACCUCGGUCUCCUGGGACGGAAAGCCUGGACUCUGCUUUUCGCAGUGAGAGCAGAAGAAGUGAUAUCAGUUCUCUGCUGGAGAAAGGAAAAAGAGGAGGAUUAGAUAUUCCAGAGAAUAUCCCCGAGGGAGACGAGGUCAUCCCCGCACAGGAUAAAUCCAAACUACCCGCCUUCCUUCACAAGGCAGCAUCAGAGAAUCGCUCCAUAAGUAGAGUCUCUCAUACAACACACUCCAGCACUGGGCCAUGGAUGACGAAUCAAACUGAUGACCAGCUGGAGGAUGAGUUAAAAGAGCGCAUUCAAAAUACAGGAGCUCUGACACUCAAAAUCCUGUUCAAGAACAACCACCCUGAUGGCAAACCUCUGGUCAACAGAUCUGCAUUACUUGAGAUCCUUACAAAUUUCCUGAGGAAGCCUGUCACAGCUAAACAGCUGAAAAAACUUCUAUUUCGCCUGCACCUCUCUGACCGAGUGCUUAUCAGUUUUGAGGAGUUUUAUGGUGCCCUGAAAGACCCAGACUCCAAUAAAAGUAACCCCGCGGGUCUUCUUACCAUUCCUCAGACAAUGGCCCUGCUGAGAGGACCUGCAUGCAGCAGGUUUCUGGAGAGUAUAGAGGUUUUGUGCAAGUCAGACAGUCUUACUGAAAGCUGGAUUUCUGCCCCAGAGUUCAGAAAUAUUCUCAACAAACUCAAACUUCACCUGAAAGAUAAUGAUUUUGAAAAAUUAUGGAAAAGGUUAGAUGUGGAUGGACUUGGAGCAGUUAAACAGACUAUUUUUCUAAAGAAAUUGGGCUUGAGCAGAAGGAUUGAACCAAACAAUGAGAAAAACUACCACACUUGCAUUACCCCAAAACCUGAGGAGACAAAAGCUCCUGGUAGGACACUCUCUAAAGCAGAAGAGGAGCGCCACACAUCUGUCGCCAUAGAGACCUGGCUGAAGGAGAGAUUCAGGGAAGGAGCUCAGAGGAUGAAAGCAGAGUUUGAUAAACUGGAUCCUGAGAACAGUGGAAAGGUGAGGGCUGCAGACUUUCUGCAGGUGUUGAGGAAGUUUGACCUGCAUCUGAAGAGAGAGCACCUGGCUCUCUUUCUGUCUCAGUGUGGUCUGAAGCUGAAAAAGGGUUGUGUACAGUACUUGAACUUCCUGCGCACCUUCCAAGACAGAAGUUCAGACGGCAUCACUCACAAGAUCAUCUCCAACCCAAAACACCGGUUUCAUUCCAAUGAAAACAUCAGUGGUGCUUCCUCUUUAAGUACCAUAGAAGUCAAAUUAACUCGCCUGUUUCAGUCAGAGUACCUCUCCCUUCUCCAGACCUUUCAGAACAUCGACAAGCUUAAUAAAGGGACCAUUAGUAAAGAAGAAUUCAGAGCUGCUAUGGAGAGCAGGUUUGGCCUGGAGAUUUCCGACCCUCAGUUUGAGCAGCUGCUGGACAGGCUCCCUCUUGACCGCCAUGGAAAUGUGCAGUACCCGAUCUUCAUGGCAGCUUUUGACACCAGAAAAGGAGUUCCCAGCCUCUUCCAGGCACCCGCCCAGCCUGUCUUGAAUCAUAAUUCAGGCGAGGAGAAGGGCUCAGAGGAGGAUCGGAGUGACCAUGAGGUAUAAUCUCAUGUGACUUCAUAAUACAUCAGUUGUAAAUUCCCAGAUGUACAAUGCCGCUUUACAACCUAAACAAUUCAAAAGUUUGGUAAUGGUAAGAUUUCUCAAUGUUUUUCAAAGAAGUCACUUAUGCUCACUAUGGCUGCAUUAGUUUGAUCAAAAUGCAAUAUUAUUAACAGUAAUAUUGUGAAAUAUUAUUGCAAUGGAGAAUAACUGUUUUCUAUUUUAAUAUAUUAUACAAUGUAAUUUAUUUCUG
ensembl:lncRNA